rnacentral:misc_RNA from 1 species
GAUGAAGAACGUAGCGAAAUGCGAUACUUAGUGUGAAUUGCAGAAUCCCGUGAACCAUCGAGUCUUUGAACGCAAGUUGCGCCCGAAGCCAUUUGGUUGAGGGCACGUCUGCCUAGGCGUCACAUAUCGUUGCCCGAUGCCUAUUGCACUGUGAUAGGAAAUUCUAGGGCGAAAGAUGGCUUCCCGUGAGCGUUGUUGCCUCGCGGUUGGUUGAAAAUCGAGUCCUUGGUAGGGUGUGCCAUGAUAGAUGGUGGUCGAGUUUGCACGAGACCGAUCAUGUGUGCGCUCCCCAAAAUAUGGACUCUUUGACCCCACACGCGUCUUUUGACGCUCAUGACGAGACCUCAGGUCAGGCGGGGCUACCCGCUGAGUUUAAGCAUAUCAAUAAGCGGAGGA